UACGACGGGAGCUAGCGUUGUUCGGACUUACUGGGCGUAAAGCGCGCGUAGGCGGCUUGGCAAGUUGGGUGUGCAAGCCCAGGGCUCAACCCUGGAAUUGCACUCAAGACUGCCUUGCUUGAAUUCGGUAGAGGUUGGUGGAAUUCCCAGUGUAGAGGUGAAAUUCGUAGAGAUUGGGAAGAACACCCGUGGCGAAGGCGGCCAACUGGACCGACAUUGACGCUGAGGCGCGAAAGCGUGGGGAGCAAACAGG
rnacentral:rRNA from 1 species